AUUGCACAAUGGGCGCAAGCCUGAUGCAGCGACGCCGCGUGGGGGAUGACGGCCUUCGGGUUGUAAACUCCUUUCGCUAGGGACGAAGCUUUUGUGACGGUACCUGGAGAAGAAGCACCGGCUAACUACGUGCCAGCAGCCGCGGUAAUACGUAGGGUGCGAGCGUUGUCCGGAAUUACUGGGCGUAAAGAGCUCGUAGGUGGUUUGUCGCGUCGUCUGUUAUAUUUCGGGGCUUCACCCCCCGCCGGCAUGUGCACUCGGCUAGUCGUCGGCAGCGUCAGAGGUGUAUAAGAGACAAAUAUUUCCAUGAAAACCAUUUUAGAAAACUUAACCUGACCGAAACCAACCCCGGAGCCUGUACCGGCCCGGAUGGUUGGAUCACCGACCCG
rnacentral:rRNA from 1 species